rnacentral:rRNA from 2 species
AAUUUCGAGUGCGGUCUCGUGGCCAACCUCCCACCCGUGUCUCUCUCUACCUGUUGCUUUGGCGGGCCCACCGGGGCCACCCGGUCGCCGGGGGACGUCCGUCUCCGGGCCCGCGCCCGCCGAAGCGCUCUGUGAACCCUGAUGAAGAUGGGCUGUCUGAGUCGCAUGAAAAUUGUCAAAACUUUCAACAAUGGAUCUCUUGGUUCCGGCAUCGAUGAAGAACGCAGCGAAAUGCGAUAAGUAAUGUGAAUUGCAGAAUUCCGUGAAUCAUCGAAUCUUUGAACGCACAUUGCGCCCCCUGGCAUUCCGGGGGGCAUGCCUGUCCGAGCGUCAUUUCUGCCCUCAAGCCCGGCUUGUGUGUUGGGCGUGGUCCCCCCGGGGACCUGCCCGAAAGGCAGCGGCGACGUCCGUCCGGUCCUCGAGCGUAUGGGGCUUUGUCACUCGCUCGGGACGGAUCGGCGGAGGUUGGUCACCACCACAGUUUUACCACGGUUGACCUCGGAUCAGGUAGGAGUUACCCGCUGAACUUAAGCAUAUCAGGAGGCCGGGGAAGGGUCAUUACCGAGUGCGGGCCCUCGUGGCCCAACUCACCCGUGUCUCUCUCUACCUGUUGCUUUGGCGGGCCACGGGGCACCGGUCGCGGGGGACGUCGUCUCGGGCCGCGCCGCCGAAGCGCUCUGUGAACCUGAUGAAGAUGGGCUGUCUGAGUCGCAUGAAAAUUGUCAAAACUUUCAACAAUGGAUCUCUUGGUUCGGCAUCGAUGAAGAACGCAGCGAAAUGCGAUAAGUAAUGUGAAUUGCAGAAAUCGUGAAAUCAUCGAAUCUUUGAACGCACAUUGCGCCCUGGCAUUCGGGGGGCAUGCCUGUCGAGCGUCAUUUUCUGCCUCAGCCGGCUGGUGUUGUUUGGGCGUGGUCCCCGGGGACCUGCCGAAAAGCAGCGGCGACUCGUCGGUCUCCAGCGUGUGGGGGCUUGUGUCACUCCUCGGACCGAAUCGGCGGAGGUUGG